UCUUCGUUCUGGACACGCGACAAUUAACAUAGGGUUUGGGAUUGAUGCGCAGGUUACAUGGCAUGUUGCCGUUACUUGCUGAGUUUUAUUUUGAAAUUUGAAUUGAAAUAAGAAUGUUGAUUGUGAAUGGUUUAACUGAACCCCUACUUUGUAGUUCAUUCUCUUUUAUUUUUUUCUUUUUUGUUUUGUUUUGAGUAGUGGUGAUUGCUACACAACUAGAUACAAUUAGCUAUGAGUUUUAAAAUGAGUCAGUUAGAUUCAAAAGGAGUUGUAGGGACCACUCAUUUAUUGAAAGGUCAAUUAAUAUUUGUAUUGUGUGUGUGUGGAAUGGGUGUGUUUGUGAUUUGGAGACAAAUUUUAGAGAGAGAAAUGCUGAUUGAAAGAGUUAGGGUUAGGAUGUAUGUGUUUUUUGUCAUAACUAAAAAAGGUUGAUUAGACAGUUGGUGGAUUAAUCUUAAUUCACAGUAUUUUCUUUUAUUCUUAUUAUCCCCUAUCUCUGCAGUGACAUUAUAAUUCAAGGGCUUACCAUUCUUGCUCCAGUUGACUCUCCAAACACUGAUGGAAUAGAUCCAGCCAAAUUGCUAUUCCAGAGUUAUAAGUGUUAAUGGCGAUGAACAUAUUAUAAUAUUUGCGAAGAGGGACAUUAAACAGUGGGAAGAGCUUACAUAUGAUUACAGGUUUACCUCUUCUCCAAAUGAGGCAGAGGGAGCAAUUGCUGUUAUUAUUAUUAGGAGUGUUUGGAAAGCAUCCUUGAAUAUCUUGCUGAUCAGAAGGACCCUACUACUUUAUGCCAGAAAUUUAUUGAUGAGUUUGAUCGAUGCAUCCUCAGUUAUUUCGCAUUUAAUUGGAACCAAGCUUCUUAUAUGAUUAGUCAGGGUGUAAAAUGUGGUAUUUAUGGUGCCAAUUCUGCAGAAUGGAUUAUGAGCAUGCAGGUGUUGGGGCUAUAGAGUUUAUUAUAUGCCAUUCAGAGGUCUCAAUUGCACUUGCAGAAGAGAAGAAGAUACCUGAGCUAUUCAAGACAUUUCCAAAUGCAACAAAGUAUCUCAAGAGAUCAAACUCAUAGCUUCGAACUUCCUAUUAAGAAAAGGAUGUAUACAUAUCAUACCUUCCACUCGCACAUACUUUUUUUAGGACCAUUGAGGAGAUAUUCAUAUGGCAUGGUGCUUCAAUUGGUUUCUGGCGUGGGG